CCUACGGGUGGCUGCAGUGGGGAAUUUUCCACAAUGGGCGAAAGCCUGAUGGAGCAAUACCGCGUGGGUGAUGAAGGUUCGUGGACUGUAAAGCCCUUUUCUCAAGGAAGAAUAACUGACGGUACUUGAGGAAUAAGCACCGGCUAACUCUGUGCCAGCAGCCGCGGUAAUACAGGGGGUGCAAGCGUUGUCCGGAAUGAUUGGGCGUAAAGCAUUCGUAGGUGGUUCUUAAAGUCAACUGUUAAAUCCCAGAGCUCAACUUUGGUCAAGCAGUU
rnacentral:rRNA from 1 species